GUAGGGAAUCUUCCGCAAUGGGCGAAAGCCUGACGGAGCAACGCCGCGUGAGUGAUGAAGGUCUUCGGAUCGUAAAACUCUGUUAUUAGGGAAGAAUAAAUGUGUAAGUAACUAUGCACGUCUUGACGGUACCUAAUCAGAAAGCCACGGCUAACUACGUGCCAGCAGCCGCGGUAAUACGUAGGUGGCAAGCGUUAUCCGGAAUUAUUGGGCGUAAAGCGCGCGUAGGCGGUUUUUUAAGUCUGAUGUGAAAGCCCACGGCUCAACCGUGGAGGGUCAUUGGAAACUGGAAAACUUGAGUGCAGAAGAGGAAAGUGGAAUUCCAUGUGUAGCGGUGAAAUGCGCAGAGAUAUGGAGGAACACCAGUGGCGAAGGCGACUUUUUGGUCUGUAACUGACGCUGAUGUGCGAAAGCGUGGGGAUCAA
rnacentral:rRNA from 1 species